UACGUAGGCAGCGAGCGUUGUUCGGAGUUACUGGGCGUAAAGGGUGUGUAGGCGGUUGUUUAAGUUUGGUGUGAAAUCUCCCGGCUCAACUGGGAGGGUGCGCCGAAUACUGAAUGACUCGAGUGCGGGAGAGGAAGGUGGAAUUCCUGGUGUAGCGGUGAAAUGCGUAGAUAUCAGGAGGAACACCGGUGGUGUAGACGGCUUUCUGGACCGUAACUGACGCUGAGACACGAAAGCGUGGGUAGCAAACAGG
rnacentral:rRNA from 1 species